rnacentral:rRNA from 1 species
UACAGGCUUAACACAUGCAAGUCGAGGGGCAGCAUGGUCUUAGCUUGCUAAGGCCGAUGGCGACCGGCGCACGGGUGAGUAACACGUAUCCAACCUGCCGUCUACUCUUGGACAGCCUUCUGAAAGGAAGAUUAAUACAAGAUGGCAUCAUGAGUCCGCAUGUUCACAUGAUUAAAGGUAUUCCGGUAGACGAUGGGGAUGCGUUCCAUUAGAUAGUAGGCGGGGUAACGGCCCACCUAGUCUUCGAUGGAUAGGGGUUCUGAGAGGAAGGUCCCCCACAUUGGAACUGAGACACGGUCCAAACUCCUACGGGAGGCAGCAGUGAGGAAUAUUGGUCAAUGGGCGCAGGCCUGAACCAGCCAAGUAGCGUGAAGGAUGACUGCACUAUGGGUUGUAAACUUCUUUUAUAAAGGAAUAAAGUCGGGUAUGUAUACCCGUUUGCAUGUACUUUAUGAAUAAGGAUCGGCUAACUCCGUGCCAGCAGCCGCGGUAAUACGGAGGAUCCGAGCGUUAUCCGGAUUUAUUGGGUUUAAAGGGAGCGUAGAUGGAUGUUUAAGUCAGUUGUGAAAGUUUGCGGCUCAACCGUAAAAUUGCAGUUGAUACUGGAUAUCUUGAGUGCAGUUGAGGCAGGCGGAAUUCGUGGUGUAGCGGUGAAAUGCUUAGAUAUCACGAAGAACUCCGAUUGCGAAGGCAGCCUGCUAAGCUGCAACUGACAUUGAGGCUCGAAAGUGUGGGUAUCAAACAGG